UACAGAGGUCCCAAGCGUUGUUCGGAUUCACUGGGCGUAAAGGGUGCGUAGGCGGUCGGGUAAGUCUGAUGUGAAAUCCCGCAGCUCAACUGCGGAAUGGCAUUGGAUACUAUUUGGCUAGAGGGUUGGAGGGGGGACUGGAAUUCUCGGUGUAGCAGUGAAAUGCGUAGAUAUCGAGAGGAACACCAGUGGCGAAGGCGAGUCCCUGGACAACUCCUGACGCUGAGGCACGAAAGCUAGGGGAGCAAACAGG
rnacentral:rRNA from 1 species